GGAGACCCCGGUGGCAAUGGUGCCCUCCGUGCUGGCACCAGUGGCCACCGGCGAGGGUUGGGGACAGGUGGGCACCAGCAGUGGCCAACCUCUGGCCGUGGUCUGUUGGCUGUGGGCUGGGCUCAGGGUGUUAGUCCUUGGGCGACUUCUUGCUGUGAGCGUUCCACAUGCCGCGCUUGGAGUGGUAAUAGUGGUAAAAGUUCCUGAGACGCAAGCGCUCCACCUCCAGCCCACUCUGAAGGACCCUGUCCAGGAGCUCCCAGUCCUCCCCGCCCCAGCGGUCCCUGAACUCCUCCGUGUUCAUCCCUCCGACGCGGUCAAAGUCCGACUUGUAGAUGCCAAAGAGACCAAAGCCAUUCACCUCCCAGUAACCGUUGGGCUCCCGUGGGGAGCUGCCACAGCUCAGCCUCAUGACGAUGGGCGCGUAGGCCAGCUUCCCUUCCACGCAGUGCUUCCGGAUGCUGUCCAGGAU
rnacentral:lncRNA from 1 species